rnacentral:lncRNA from 1 species
UUUUCCAAGGUUUUAUAUUUUUUGAAUUUUUUAUUAAUUUAUAAUGCCCUCUAGACUGACUGGUCAAACCAUCGGUCUAUACCUCAAGGGGGCAUUGUAAAGUAUUAAUUUUCCAAAUUUUCUUUCAUAGCCAUGUUUGGCACAUGUGGGUCACCAUGUACAACAAAAAUUGGGUGAUUUGGAGGUGGUGGAAAAAAUCACGUAUGUUCAAAAACUGGCUUAAGUUAGACCAAAUGGCCCCUCCGGAAUGCGAUGAUUUUUUCGACCACCUCCAAAUCACCUCUAUUUUGGCACACAUGAUCUCUUGCACAAACAAAGCUAGUUUUCCAAGGUUUUGUAUUUUUUUGAAUUUUUUAUUAAUUUGUAAUGCCCUCUAGACUGACUGGUCAAACCAUCGGUCUAUACCUCAAGGGGGCAUUGUAAAGUAUUAAUUUUGCAAAUUUUCUUUCAUAGCCAUGUUUGGCACAUGUGGGUCACCAUGUACAACAAAAUGUGGGUGAUUUGGAGGUGGUGGAAAAAAUCACGUAUGUUCAAAACCUGGCUUAAGUUAGACCAAAUGGCCCCUCC